AAUGAACGUUGGCGGCGUGGAUUAGGCAUGCAAGUCGAGCGAGAAGUUACAGAUUGACGCUUCGGUUGAUUUCUGUGACGGAAAGCGGCGAAAGGGAGAGUAACGCGUAGUCACGUACCCUAGGGUCCGGAAUAGCCUCGAGAAAUCGUGGGUAAUGCCGGAUGAUGUCUUCGGACCAAAGGUGUGAUUCCGCCCUGGGAGCGGACUGCGUCCUACUAGCUUGUUGGUGGGGUAACGGCCUACCAAGGCUGCGAUGGGUACCGGGUGUGAGAGCAUGGCCCGGCUCACUGGGACUGAGACACUGCCCAGACACCUACGGGUGGCUGCAGUCGAGAAUCUUCCGCAAUGGGCGCAAGCCUGACGGAGCGACGCCGCGUGCGGGAUUAAGGCCUUCGGGUUGUAAACCGCUGUCAGAGAGGCGGAAAUGCGUAGGGGCUAUCCCCUAUGUUUGACCUAAUCUCAGAGGAAGUGCAGGCUAAGUUCGUG
rnacentral:rRNA from 1 species